UAUUUCUUGCAUAUUUAUUAGAAACAUGUCUCCUGCCCAGUGAACUAUUCAACGGCUGCGGUAUCCUAACCGUACAAAGGUAGCAUAAUAAUUUGCCCAUUAAUUGUGGGAUAGAAUGAAAGGAAAAAUGAGAGAACAGCUCUAUCAUUAACACAAAUAAAAACUAACAUUUAGGUGAAGAGGCCUAAAUACAGCUAAAGGACAAGAAGACCCUAUAGAGCUUUAAUGUAACUAAACAACAUUUAUUCACAUUUCGGUUGGGGCGACCUAGGAAUAAUCAUCCAAUAAAUAUAGACAUACCUGUCAUAACAAAGAUCCUUAUUAGAUCAUAGAACCAAGUUACCUUAGGGAUAACAGGCUAAUUUUAUUUUAGAGUUCAUAUCUACAAUAAAGAUUGGCACCUCGAUGUUGGCUUAGAAUUUCUAAUAAAACGCAAAAGUUUAUUCAGAAGGUUUGUUCAACCUAUAAUAUUCU
rnacentral:rRNA from 1 species